CAGAUAGCUAAUACCGGAUAACAACAGAUGAUGCUUAUCAACUGUUUAAAGAUGUUCUGCUAUCACUCUUGGGAUGGACCUGCGGUGCAUUAGCUAGUUGGUAGGGGUAACGGGCCUACCAAGGCGAUGAUACAUAGCCCGAGUUGAGAGACUGAUCGGGCCACAUUGGGGACUGAGACACGGGCCCAAACUCCUACGGGAGGCAGCAGUAGGGAAUCUUCCACAAUGGACGCAAGUCUGAUGGAGCAAACGCCGCGUGAGUGAAGAAGGGUUUCGGCUCGUAAAAAGCUCUGUUGUUGGUGAAGAAGGACAGGGGUAGUAACUGACCCUUUGUUUGACGGUAAUCAAUUAGAAAGUCACGGGCUAACUACGUGCCAGCAGCCGCGGUAAAU
rnacentral:rRNA from 1 species